GGAUGUGAUGAUAUAGGAAGUGCCGUCCAAUGCGAAACUGACGAAGAUUCCUAAAUGGUUAGCUAGCU